UCGCCAUUCGCGCUGAUGGUGUACGGCACUGUACGGACACGUAUCUCGUCGGAAAGACGAAAAGCUGUAAUGGUAGGCUGUUGUGCAAAACAUUGCAAGAAUCGCAGUGAAAAUGGGUUUCGUAUGUUUCGGUUUCCCAAAGACAAGCAACGAAAACAAGUAUGGCUCGAAAAAUGCGGCAAAAGUAUAGCACCGACUUCGAGGUUAUGCGAGCGUCACUUUGAUGACUCCCAAUUUGAAAACCACCGAGAGGAUAAAUGGCGAAAAUUAAAACUAAACGCUGUUCCAACUAUUUUUAAUGAUGAAAAUUCAACAAUUACAUUCAAUAACCAGUUAGCAGUUGGGCAACAAACUCCUCACGAAAACCUAUUUGAAAAUGAUUAUGUUCAAGACUUUAAUCCGGUGAUUUUAACUAAUUUCAACAGUAAUAUUAGGGAUAAUGAGAACGUUAUCGAUGGAAAUUCACUAAAUGAACAUUUUCCAUCAGCAAAAAUGGUCACAGAUACAAGCAUUCAAACUGAUGGUGACAGUGACACACUUAUGUUACAAACAAAAUACAUUUCUAAUGAAGAAGGUACUAUCCGACAAGCUAAUGAAAUAAAAUACUUGCAACUGCAAUUAGAAAAAGAGCGUGUAAAAGCUAAUAUGCUAAAGUCGAAAUAUAAAAAUGAAAAAUUAUUACGACUUAAAAUGACAACAAAAAUGAAAUCUUAUAAGAAAAAAUGUUGUACCUUAUCUGAAAAAUUGGAAAAGAUUCCAUUUUUCAAGAAAUUUGCUGCAGGAUUAUCUAAUCCACAUCAACCAAAAUGGUCUCCUGAAUGCUUAAAACUUGCAAUACAAAUAAGAUACGCUGUUGGAUGGAAGGCCUAUUUAUAUUUGAAAAAAGACCUCCAGUUACCUUUACCAGCUUAUUCUACUUUAUGCAAACACAUCAGUAAACUUGAUUUCUCUCCUGGUCUGUUAAAAGACGUCCUUUCAUUAAUGGCAAAAAAAAAAGAAAACUCAUUCAUCUACGCAUCAAAGUGAUAGUGUAGUUUUGAUGGAUGAAAUGGACAUUAAAAAAUCCUUGGAGUAUGAUGUUAGCACAGGGUCAUUUAUUGGACAAACAACGUGUGAAGAACGAGCAAAACUAAGCACUACUGUUGUUGUUUUUAUGCUCAGAGGACUAACAGAAAACUGGAAGCAAAUUAUUUCAUGGCAUCUGACGUCUAAAUCUUCAGAUGAUUGUGUAAUGACCCAAUUACUUUUAGAAA